UCAACGACAUCCAAUGUCCAUGGUCAGGAAACCGUAACCAUCUGUUGAUCAACGAGCUAGUCAACUAGAGGCUUACUAGGGACAUGGUGUUGUCUAUGUACCCACACAUGUAUCUGAGUUUUCUUUGAAUACAAUUAUAGCAUGGAUAAUAAACGAUUAUCAUAAACAAGGAAAUAUAAUAAUAACUAAUUUAUUAUUGCCUCUAGGGCAUAUUUCCAACAUUUUUUCCACAUAUUCGGUGGUACAUAAACGUUCAAAAAGUUAGUCUAAGUUAUUAUCCGGGAUUGAUGUGCUAUCUUAGUUUGUAUUGUUAUGUUGGAAAAUUGGAAUACAUUGAUAGCAUGUGUUUUUCUAUUACUUAUUGUUACAAGAAUUUAUAUUGACUGUAAUGGUGUUGAGCUGUGAUUGAAAACAUCUAGCAAAAUAUGUUCCAUUUAUUUGCUGGGUGUUGGUUCUUCAGCAACACACCACAGUAUUUCAUUGAUUUGGUUGAUGCUUGUUUGGUUGAUGCUGGUAUAAUAGGUAGUUGCAUGCAUUUAUUUAUCAUGCUACCACUAGACUGCCUGAUAAAAACUUGCUGAAUAUAUAUAUCUUUGACUAGCAACUGAUGGAAUAUAGCUCAUGUUCAUGUAAAUUCCCAUCCCACUCAAAGUGUGAAACACUUAUUCUUCUUCUUUGUACUCAACAUCCAGGCAUCACACCUGAAUAUAUAUAUGCACAUAUUUAUGUAUGUAGUUAUCUGUCACACGCAUGAAGCAGUCUUGUUUGUUUUGGGAUGUAGUAUCACCACUUAAUUUGUUCCCUGUCUGCCUCCUUCCUAAAAUUCUGACUGUAUAUAUAUGGUAUGUGUACCAUCCAUGAUAUGCACUUGCUCCUGAUCUCAUGUUGGUCUUGUUUUUAUUUCAUGGCUUCCUAUUCGUGUAGUUCCAAUGUCAUUGGGUCUUGUUUGUAGAAUGAUGAGUCACGCCGCAGUUGAAAGUGGGCAUAAGUGGGACCGAUUGAGCCCAUCCCACUUAAUCAUCUUAGUGGGCACCCUUUGGACAACAGAAAAAAAAUAAGUGGGCUAUUCCAUUUAGCCCUCUGGGAGCCCAAUCUACAUAGUUUUCUCAAGUAAAAAAGGAAAACGAAUUACGGCGCCGCUUUCACGGGAUAGGGUUCGAUCCGCGCCCCUCUAGUUUGCCUGCAGGUGGCGCAAUGCUCCUCCUCUCGCCUCUCUUCUCCCUCGCCUUGUACGACGGAGAACUGACCACCGAGGUAACCCUGCCUCCUGCUCCGUCCUUCCCCUCUCCUCUCAUCCAAUGACCUUAUUCGUGGGCACCUUGGACAUAGGAUGAAGGAAGGGAGUGAUCGUCAGAUAGGAGAGAUGGGACCAUUUCCUCUAUCUCUACGAUAAAAUCAUCUGAGAGAGAGAGGAGCUUCGGGCUUAUUACAGUUUCAGAGUUGUACUGUACCACCUCAGUGGUGACUGUACCGUCGACAUGCCUUGACAGUUUCAGUCUUUCAGAGCUUUGGGCUUUAACAACAACCUAUUUCGUUACCUUGAUUAAACUUCUUGUUGACUUCCAUUUCUUUCCCUUAGCAUGUGAAUGCCUCUCUGUUUCCUGGAAGAUCAAUGCUUUUGUUUCAUUUUGCUCGAGUGUUUGUUGUGUUCAGCUCAGCUCAGCUCCUUGCCAUUUUCAUUCAACCAAGAAAGGAAUAAGGAAUCCUUGAUGUUUUUUGUAUACUGCUUUUGCCACAUCUUUCCUGGUUAAUUCUAGCUUGUUGCCUUGUUCUGUGAAUUAAUUCAUGCUACAUUUGUUUGGAUAGACUAGUAUUUAUAAGGUCAAGGGCCUGUGCUGGAGACUUUAUUCAAGUUUCUUUGAUGUUAACUGCUUGCACACCAAUAUCCUUAUAUACAAUUGUUUUUUAUGUAUAGGGUAAGAACAUGAUUUCAACGAUAGAGUAUGAUAAGUUACAACAAGUGCAUAAUUACAGACUUAUUUAUGUGUGCAAAAAUGGUGAAACCCCUUGCCGCAUUAUACCGGCAAUCUAUGGUUUAUUUUUUUUUAAUAGUAGCCUACUGAAAGUUUUUAAAAGAAAAAUAAGGGCUUAUGUUUUUCCAGCCCAACCAACUGGAGAUGUACAAAAGUACCAAUGUCCAAUGAGAAGCCGAACGAACACGUGUAGAAGUCUAGAUGUAGGCUGCUAGUGUUAAUGAGGUCCUUCCAAGUUUGUUUCUAGAAUAGUAGUACCCUUUAUUACUAUGUAUAAAAUAGAGAAAAAAACUUCUUGUCAAUACACACCUGAUCCCAUUUUUUCUGUAGUAGUCAGUGUUAGAUUCCAUCGCAAUGUUUUGAAACAUUUAAUUUCACACAAGUCAUCCCUUUCGUCUGUUGACUAUUUUGUUUCUUCCAAAAAGCUUCCUCUUUUGAUUUCUGACAAAGAUGUCUUAGCAAAACGAUAGCCAGUUGUUUCGGUGUUGGACAAAGAUGUGUGUUUAUGCAUGGUUUUGAUUCGAUUGCUUGCACAUAUCAAAGACUUUCUAGCAUCAUUAUCCAAAGGCAUUUUGAGCUCAGUGUUUGUGCCAAGUCAAAUAUGCUCAUCUCCUCGCCUUGUCAUUUCCAGCAGUGCUACCUUGGAGAUCAUGCAAGGAUCAUGAACAUGCUUAAUUUUUCAUUUUGACGUUGUCGGUUCGUUCGUUCUUUGCCCCAUGCUUGACAAAUAUGAAGGAUUUAUAGUUUUGCUAGUGCUAAUAGAUUUUAGUUGUUUUUCAGGUCAUGUCAUGGUAGUAGUUUAGUAGUACAUAGAUCAAAUAUAUAGAGAGAGCUAGUAUCUUAUAAUGCUUAGACAAACUAUAUUCAUUCUCUCAAUUGUUAAGUUGAAAAUACAUGAAGAUAUGUGUUAUGACUGAACUAUUGUGUGGAUGGGCUGGUGUGGGAUAUAUACUACAUUGUCCUGCUCCUCUGUACUCUUGUUGUGGGCAGCUGCUGAUCCUUUGUUUGUUUGAUUUUUUUUUGUAUGUUUGGAGUGAUCAUUGAGCAACUUGGCCAAGAACUCGCCCAACCUGAGGGUGGCCCACAUCAUAAUCAAAGAAGAUGGUGGUGGAUGAGACCGGUGCUGCUUUUGUGAUGAGCAAAACAAAAACUUGGUGGUCGCCGGCCGUGGCCUCCUGCGCGUGCGCAGCCGUAGUCUUGGCUAGUGGCCUCGGCUACAACUUGCAAAGGGAGCCCGUCCCUCUUCCUCCUCUGGUUCUCCCCCCUUGCUCUGAGCACAUGGACAUCGAGCCAUGGCUAUUUUACACCAGGUUUAAUGUCCAUGUCUGGUUAUGGUUUGGACUGGUGGUACAGUCAUGGCAUAAUGACUCCAGGUUAUGCUUGGAUGGAUUUAAUCUUUCUAAAAUAUGAGAUUUUUUGUAAAGAGCUAGUCUUGUAGGGUUUCAAUUGUCUAAAGAUUGUGGUUUUUAGAAGAUUGUUACCUUUCUGGUUUUAUGGCUGAUGUGGUCAGUAGAGAUCCAUGCGUGUUGUAUUUCCUAGUGGUGAUAUGAUGAACUAUAGAUUUGGAAGUUUGCUUUGUACAACUGCACUAUAGAGUUGGAUGUUUUUCGUGGUUGCGUGAUGUCGAUGAUGAUUACUGUGAAGCUUUCUCAAUGUAAUCACUAAUGAUUGCAUAACCUACUGCUUUCCUUCUGAGGCAUAAUGUCCCUCUCAAUUCUUCUCUCUUGAAAUAGUGGUUUUGCGUGAUCCCUUGUGACAGAAAUUAUUCAGACUUCAAGAUGCAAAGGUAAAACAAUUUUUGAUGCUGCUGUUUAGGUUAGAUAGUCACACUUUUAUUUCUGUCAAUUGCAUGGCAUGGUAUCUAGACUAGGUGUCCUUGAUGUUCUCAAUAUAUUCAUGCCUUUUUAUACCUUGAAUGAUCCAUCAGCAUCCUGUAAAGACUAGUCUCAUUGAUGGUAAUAUUUAUAAGUAUACAUGUUAUCAGAACACACAAAAUGAACCCUGUAUUGCUUUGUUCAUUUCAAUUUCGUGUAUUGUGCUAUUGUUUUACUCCGAGUUGGCCUGAUCCGGUUUUUUCCACAAAUGCAGGUGCCAUUGUUGUUGAUUCCAUUGUUCAUGGCCAUCUGAAAAGCUAAGGAACUGUUCAAACCUUGAAAUAAACUUGAACACCCUGCAGUUGUGUAAUUGAGGAGCCCCAUGACAUCAACAAGAAUGACGACGAUGAUGCGGAGGAGGAGGACCUCAACUACACACCACACAAAGUCCCUAUUGUUUGUCGGCAAUGGCUUCCUUGCCUGCAGCAGGUAGCAUUCGGUUACUGCUGCAAAUGCCAACGGAAGAAAAUAUACAUAUGAAAUGCUACACUUGCACUCAGGAGUGUGAGAAAUUUUGCCCAAUUUCAUUGCCAUGUUCAUCAUGUCAUUUACCCACAAAUUAUCAGUUAUUUUAUGCUAUAUGAAGUUGUUCCUCUCUUGAUUUUUCAUGGUAGACGGAAUUGUAUGAUUUCGGAUAGUACUUUAUCAAAUUCAAACCAUACAACAUCACCCACGUCCCUCUAUGCAGUGCAGUUUGCAACUGAACCCAUCUCUAGUACUGGAUCUCCAGUACUAGCUUCUUUCAUGUGCCCUUGAGUAUCCAGCUCAACUGAUUCAAGUUCUUGGACAAUUAAUUAAGCACUAUAACAAAUUAAUGAAUGCCCUCCUUGUUCUUCUAGCUAGUAUACAUUACUACUGGAUGGUGAUCAAUUUUAGCCAGCCAUUCUUCCAUGCCCCCUCUCUCCACCCACUCACUUGAUAAUCUCCCUGCACCAUCAAUCCAUCUCCUUUAGCAACUAGCUGUUGCAAAUGGCACCAGAUUUAAUUCUGAAUGUAUGCUUAGUUAUUCAGCAUGCUUGAAGUCCCAUCAUUUUGUGUCUGGUCAGUUAUUUUCGUAGCUCAUAAUAUGCUCAACUUCUCAGGAAAGUAAUUGACGUUUUAGCGUUAUGGUCACCGAGUUUCCUCUUGUUCAGUAGGCGAAAGGGAGGUUAUAUUGAAACGCUAUACUGGUGCCCUUGUUGAAAUCGAGUGCCCAUGUUGUGUGAUAUACAAUGUUGCUGUGUUGUGUCUCUUGUGUGGCCGAGUUUAAUAUUAUGUUUGUAUUUCUGUUUGCGGUUGUGUGCUAGAGUCUAAUUAGUUAUGUGAAUAGUUAACUUUAAGAUGUUGAUGUGUCAUAGAAAAGAUGAUUUCUUGUGUUGUGUACUUUCGGAAAUUAACGCAAUGCUAAAUGUAUGUAGGCUUAAGAAAUUGAUCAAGGUAAGCCAUUAUAUCUCUUUGCUUGUUUUUUAAAUUGUCACUAUGUCGGAUAAUUAUUUGAUUGUGAAGUAAUAGUUCCUUGCUUUUGUCUAGUAUUAAGAAACAGUUUGUUGAAACAACCAUUAGUCUCUCCUAGCUACAGAAACUGCCUAUAUGCAUUUGCUUAGGCUUGGAGCCUAACUCAUGUCUCGGGCAUGAACUCUCCCUGCAUAAUUAUUUCUUAUCCUGCCUAUCAGUCGCUGCAAGGUUUUUUGGUAUAUGUGUGUAUAACUGAUGCAAAGCUAUCCAAUCAGAUCUUGGUCUUGUGUGUAAAACAAUCAAUCCUUCUGUUGUGUGUAAUCAAUGUGAAGCAAUGAAAUAAACUUGCUACAUGUUGCUUACGAGGCACCAUGUAGUUUGUUUGUUUGAUUUGAUUUGUUUGUUUGUUUGAUUUGGAGCAGACCUGGACCCCAUGCCCAAGCUCACGAGGUCACCGUUGAGUCCGACCUCCACCUCGAUCAUGACGACGACGACCCGCACAAGGUCGAUCCCUACUUUACCACAAAUAUGUUCUUUCUUUUGUGAAGUAACAGUUCCUUGCUUUGUGUAAUGUUAAGAAACUGUUUGUUGAGACAACAAUUAUUCUCUCCCGGCUACAGGAACUGUUUAUAUGCAUUUGCUUAGGCUUGGAGCAUAACUCAUAAAUCAGUUACCUGUUUUGCGUAUCCUAUGAAUUUGAGCCUUAUCUGUUUGCUAUUUCUCCAUCUCAAAUCUCCAUCAGUAAGCUAAAAAAAGACUAGCUAGCUAAUCCUCUGUAAUUAGCUUGCUUCCCCCAUCUCACGCUGAAACCCUAGCUCUUCCCUUGGUGACGGAGAGGCUCACAUCAUGGAUCCUCUCCUCGAAGACAUCAACGGCCAAGGAAGGAGAAGCUGCUGCAUAGGUGCCAUCCUGUAGCCAUGGACGGCACUCAUAGCAUGUGCGAAGUCUGCUCCUUCCCCGCAUGGCUAGUUAGCACUUCUCCCGCCCAUGGAAGCAGCAGGCACCCUCCGCCGAUGACCUGGACCCCAUGCCCAAGCUGACGAGGAGGACAUCGUCGAGUCUGACGUCCACCUCGACCAUGAUGACGCCCCGCACAAGUUCAACUACUUGGUCGGUUGCCACUACUCUCUGCCUGAUGACCGGUUAUGGGCGAUCGGCAGAACAAGUGAGUUGACACUAGGUUACUUCCCUGUAAAAAACGAUCCCGCCGGAGGGCGGAGGCUGUCCUGGAAGGAGGCCACACAUGAGUUAUGAGGACCAUAUGCCUAGGUGGAAGCAGUCUUGAGAACCUUGGCCAAAACAAGGAAGUUUGAGAAGGCUAGUGGUAUGAGGAACAACCAUGGCUUCAAGGUUUAACUCAUGUAUGUGUACCAUCCAUGAUAUGCACUUACAUCCGGAUCUCUGUUGGUCUAUGCUUGUAGUUCCGACUUGAGCGGUAUGCCGUUUCCCAUCACACACAUGGAGCGGUCUUGUUCUUUUUGUUAUAUGUUGUGUAUGCUCGCCUCAUUCCUGAAAUUCCAACUACAUAUAUGUGGUCUGUGUACCAUCCAUGAUAUGCACUUACAUCCGGAUCU